UUAAAGGUGGGAUAGGAGAUGUUUUUCUGGCACAUAUUUUACCAUAUCAUCUGAAAAACUCCUCAUGACGCCAUAGCACCCAUUGAAAUAGAGUGUUUGGAAAAAAAACGAAAUCUUUUGGUCCAGUGUAGAGGGCGUAGUCAGAAGAAAACGGCAACCAAUAGAAGUAAUACUCAUCAUCACUUCUAUUGGUUUCUGACACGUCCAUCAACCGCCAGCACUCACCCCUCCUCCCUGCGCGUUCACCGACUCGUGAACUUGACCGACCCCGCCCCCAUCAUUCAUGCACACGCGACAAGGCUCAUCAUCACUCGGCUAGUAGCAAGGUAACGAGAGUUAGCAGCAGGCUGAGCUACUUGGACACUUUGGUGGCUUUUGCAGAGCUACAGGAAGAACUUUGGCUUUUGGAACACUAGACUAACCAUGUCAGGUUAACAUACUCCCUUGGAUUAUCAUCGGACUCGCAGCAGACUCCAACACGGGCUGAAAAUUUGAAAUGGGACCUGACACUCUUGGACACAGAUGUCGGCUACGGCAGCGGCUUCAAAUACGCUUUGGUGACCAUAUUUCUAAUCGAGAGUUGUGCGAACGAGCCAGACAAACCAGCUGGGAGGAGGACGGAAGCACCCCUUCUCCAUCCGCGUUCAGUUGCUAAAUACGGAUCCACCCCGUAGUAAGUAACCUACCAUGUUUACGCACACAUUACUUUGACCAGCAAAGCCCAUGUCUUUCUAGUGGUUUACAAAAAUAUAUCGUUUGCAUGUUUUGCUUUGGUACGUCUCUGUUGUAUGACUCUGGUAAUAGUUGCAAGCACAAGCACAACCUGUUCGCCGCUCCAGCAUUGCAAAAUAGAUUGCCUUGGGUUUUCAAAUGUUUACAUGAUUGUGGGUGUAAUGUUGUUAACUCGCUGAUGUCGUUUUUGAGAAGACGGUAGUUUUGCAUUUGAUAAAUACCACCUAAUGACAAUGACGGCUACACGGCAGAUCUUUAUUGUGAUGGCUACACUGAAUGAUCACAUGGAGAUGCCGGUACAUUAUUUGUUUUACCCUGGUUAUAUUGAAAUGUUCUGCUUUGUCCAUUCCAAGGUGUGGUGUUUUCCAUAGCUGUUCCUUGCUCCUGUUUCACAACAUAUCAAGGCUGCCAAGUAAAUGAAGAAUGAAUCACCGCACACUGGUCAACAGCCGACAGGGUCCUUCCACAACCACAUACUUAUGCCAGUAAAAGCCACAGCUUUUCUCCUCCAAUCCAAGAAGCCUGGACUGCAGUCACCAUCUCAACACACCAACCAAGAGAAAGGCGGAUGGCUCAAUUCAAUAUGGAAAAUUGCACAAUAAAAGUUCCAGGACAUGAAGGCUGCAUACUGUGAACGUCAACCUUCAGGGCACCGUCCUGCGCAGAAGACUUUCUACCCUAAGAGGGAUGGCUGACCGCAGACACUCACAACCAGCACAGACGCCUCCAACCUCAAACUAGGCCCUUCACAGUUGCUGCACUUACCCACCUUCCCAGAGUUUUUGUGUGGUAAUGACAACUGUAAAUAUAGUAUAAAGUAAUGUAUCUAGUGUCAUGUGUAAUACAUUGUUUAAAUUGUCCA